ensembl:lncRNA
GAGGAGUCCUCAUGGAUGCUCACGUGGUUCCUGAUGUGAAGACUAGAGCCAUCAAGGGGAAGGAGAGGGGACUAAGACACAGCCUUGAGUCCUCCAUUUGUACUUUUGCCCUGAGCUCUGCAAAUGGCCGGAGUAGGCCUGUAGGCAGAGAGGGUGUGAGGGGAUCCCCACAAAUGUGCAGGUUAAUUAAUUUGAUUUUGAUAGAACACCUUAACAUGGCAGCUCUCUGGUGGUCAGUCUCAUGCAAACCCACCUCUCAAGUAAGUGAUCGUACAAACCAAAGGCCAGUUCACUUACAAUGAGAACCAAAGCUGCCGGCCUGACUGGGAUGUUUCAGCCAGUUGAUCAAAUAUUUGUUCCCUAUAGGAAAUUCUAUAUGGAAAACCUGAUUCUAAUCAGCCAUGUUCUUGGCAAACAUGGAUUCAGAGGAAGGGGAGUCAAGAGCAAGGCCUGUGCUUCAGGCUGGUCUUCUCAGACAGCCGUCUCCGGGUUUGCGGAUACACCUGCUACGUGCACCCCGUGCUUACAAUGACAGCUUCUCCUAAGAACAAGGCGAAACACUCACAAUGUUUUGAUCUUUGGAUCCUCCGUAGACCACCCCGAUUUGCUUUAAAAGCAUCAGAGAGGAUUACAUGAAGACCCAGAGACAUCAGGACGCACAUGUCCGUCUCGGUGUGUUCGGUGCUUCUGAGGACACGUGUGAGCGCAUGAUGCGUGCGUGUGGCUGCGCAGGCUUGGGUCCCUCCGGCUCGGUACUCAGGGCAUCUGCACAGAGCCUGGGAGGCAACCCGCAGGCCGCUGCUGGUCUCUUCUCCGCCGUGAUGCAGGAAGGAGGAGGAGGAGGAGGACACAUGCAUAAGGGGCCUGAAGUUAUACACCAGAUGCCUUACCUGACACUUGAAGACUGGGGCAAGGCUGCUCCAAACAAAAGUACCAAAGCUCUGAGCCAGAGAGUUCUCUGAACACAAAGGCGUUGCAACAGAGAACUGUAUAACGGGGCAGGAGGGUCAGCAGCAGACGGAUGCCCCCGCCCACAGCCCAGGCUAACCAGAUCCCUUACCUUCCUCCGGGAUGGAGAUGCCAAUAGCACUCGCUUCAGCCAGGUAAACGCCGAUUCUAAACCCAGCCAUCUCCAGUCUCCGGGUGGGGUUGGAAAUGUGUGCCUGGGGAGAGCGAUCCCAAGCCCUGGACUGAGGGAGCGCUCCUGACCUGCGCACCAGGGACCCCGCCAGCCAGUUCUACGGCACCUGUGGCUCAGCUCGGGGCUCCUUGCCGUUCAGUCCAUACUCCAGGGCCCUCCAGGUCAAGAAGACAAAUGGAGAAAGAAGAUAGUUCGGUGAUUACUGUUGCCCAGGCCACCCAUGGAUCUGUUCGGAAUAUCAAAAACCUGUUGAAAACCCAGAGUGGCAGUGAGUGCAACGAACAUCAUAAUGGAAUAGAAAUCAGCCAGGUCUCUAGGCAUCAACUAGUUACUGUCUGCUACAGAGCAAAAGCUCCAUCCUAGUUUGUUAAUAACAUUGAAACCACUUAAGCUUUUUGGGCCUCUGUGGCUCUAUAUUAAAAAUAAGGAGGUUGAGGUGAUGCGUAAUAAUGGUGCUAACAUUUAUUGAGCACUUACUAUGUGCCGGGCACGGUUGUGAACUAAAUAUUUUAGUUGUCACAAAAACCAUAAUCUCUCCUUUCAAGAUAGAAGGAAAUCAAAGCACAGAGAGCUUUCUCAUUUGGUAAGAGGCAGAACUUGGAUUCAAAACUCCUCAGCCCCUGUGUUUACCCAUUAUGCCUGCCUUGACUUCUAGCAUAUACUAUUCUUCUCGUUCUGUUGUUUUUAUCAGUAGGAAGAUGUUUAAUCUCUCGUUCUAAUGCUCUAUAUUUGACUUCUCAUAGAUCAGUCCUCUAUGUACCCAUCAGCACCUGAGCCUCCAAGCAUCACUGAACAGCCUAUAAUUAUAAUUCAGAUAUGAGAAGCUAGGAAUUUUGUACCCAUCUGUGGGUAAAAUAUGAAGUGGAGAAGGACAGUAUAUCGGAUGACAGAAUCACCAACCAAACAUGCUAACAAGCCCCAUCGGGAGCAGAUGUCACCAGAGUCAAGGACUAGGGACACACAGCCGUGUGCUGUAGGACCAACGCUCUGAAACAGAAAAGCCGCAGUCGGUCAUUCCGUGAGGCCCGUCAUGGGUGGAGGGCUGAUGUGUGCAGACGAGCCGCAGUCCCGUGGGCGGAAACACAGGCCUCGGAUUCAGAUGACUGAGUAUGGGUCCUCCUGGUUGCACGCCAUAGGCAAGCUUGUUUUCCUCACUGAAUCUGCCUCCACUUCUGUAAAAUGGGGAUGUGUCAAGUACCUCACAGGCCUGUCCUAAGAAUUGAAUGGGGUGCAGAAAGGAUGAAUGCCAACCAUUUACAUCCCCAUGGAUGGAACUGGAGGGCAAUAUGCUAAGUGAAAUAAGUCAAGCAGAGAAAGCCAAUUAUCAUAUGGUUUCACUCAUAUGUGGAAUAUAACGAACAGUGCAGAGGACCACAGGGGAAGGGAGGGAAAACUGAAUGGGAAGAAAUCAGAGAGGGAGAAAAACCAUGAGAGACUCUGGACUCCAGGAAACAAACUGAGGGUUCCAGAAGGGAGGGGGUGGGGGGAUGAGGUAACAGGGUGAUGGGUAUUAAGGAGGGCACACAAUGUGAUGAGCAGUGGGUGUUAUACACAACUAAUGAAUCAUUGAACACAACAUCAAAAACUAAUGAUGUACUGUAUGUUGGCUAAUUAAAUUUAAAUAAAUUUAAAAAAACUGAAUGGAUGACA